rnacentral:rRNA from 1 species
GUCGGUGAAUAUGAGCGUAGGGAAACACCUGUUCCCAUCCCGAACACAGCAGUUAAGCCUACGCUGCCGAUGAUACUUCUCUGAGGGAAAGUAGGUCAUCGCCGACU